GUCCACGCUGUAAACGAUGGAUACUAGGUGUAGGGGUAUUAACUCCCUCUGUGCCGCAGCAAACGCAAUAAGUAUCCCACCUGGGGAGUACGACCGCAAGGUUGAAACUCAAAGGAAUUGACGGGGACCCGCACAAGCAGUGGAGUAUGUGGUUUAAUUCGAAGCAACGCGAAGAACCUUACCAAGGCUUGACAUAAUACUGAAUAUGGUGGAAACAUCAUAGUCCUUGGGACAGUAUUACAGGUGGUGCAUGGUUGUCGU
rnacentral:rRNA from 1 species